AGAUUGAACGCUAGCGGGAUGCUUUACACAUGCAAGUCGAACGGCAGCGCGGACUUCGGUCUGGCGGCGAGUGGCGAACGGGUGAGUAACUAUAUCGGAACGUGCCCAGUAGCGGGGGAUAACUACGCGAAAGCGUGGCUAAAUACCGACAUACGCCCUACGGGGGAAAGGGGGGGAUCGCAAGACCUCUCACUAUUGGAGCGGCCGAUAUCAGAUUAGCUAGUUGGUGAGGUAAAGGCUCACCAAGGCGACGAUCUGUAGCUGGUUUGAGAGGACGACCAGCCACACUGGGACUGAGACACGGCCCAGACUCCGUACGGGAGCAGCAGUCGGGGUAAUUUUGGAACAAGUGGGGGAAACCCUGGACUCCGAGUC
rnacentral:rRNA from 1 species